rnacentral:rRNA from 1 species
CUGCUGCCUCCCGUAGGAGUCUGGGCCGUGUCUCAGUCCCAAUGUGGCCGUUCAACCUCUCAGUCCGGCUACCGAUCGUCGGCUUGGUGGGCUAUUAUCUCACCAACUACCUAAUCGGGCGCGAGCCCAUCUUUCAGCGAUAAAUCUUUGGUUGGGUCAUGAUGCCAUAUCCCAAUGUUAUGCGGUAUUAGCGUUCGUUUCCAAACGUUAUUCCCCUCUGAAAGGCAGGUUGCUCACGUGUUACUCACCCGUCCG